rnacentral:rRNA from 1 species
ACCGGCCCCAGAACUCCUACGGGAAGGCAGCAGUGGGGGAAUCCUUAGACAAUGGGGGCAACCCUGAUCUAGCCAUGCCGCGUGGAGUGAAGAAGGCCUUAGGGUCGUAAAGCUCUUUCGCCUGUGAAGAUAAUGACGGUAGCAGGUAAAGAAACCCCGGCUAACUCCGUGCCAGCAGCCGCGGUAAUACGGAGGGGGUUAGCGUUGUUCGGAAUUACUGGGCGUAAAGCGCGCGUAGGCGGGCUGGAAAGUUGGGGGUGAAAUCCCGGGGCUCAACCCCGGAACUGCCUCCAAAACUAUCAGCCUAGAGGUCGAGAGAGGUGAGUGGAAUUCCGAGUGUAGAGGUGAAAUUCGUAGAUAUUCGGAGGAACACCAGUGGCGAAGGCGGCUCACUGGCUCGAUACUGACGCUGAGGUGCGAAAGUGUGGGGAGCAAACAGGAUUAGAUACCCUGGUAGUCCACACCGUAAACGAUGAAUGCCAGUCGUCGGGCAGCUUGCUGUUCGGUGACGCAGUUAACGCAUAAGCAUCCGCCUGGGAUAUUUC